rnacentral:lncRNA from 1 species
GGCUACUGCUUUUCUGCAUUUUGAUUCCUUUCUCCAAGAAAAGGAAGCAUUUGUAGGGGUAUGGGCAUUAGGUGAGUGAGGAUGAGACCUAGAUGUGAUGAUGGGAAAAGAGGCUGCUAUUACCAGCUGAGUCUGAAAACAUUGUUACCAUAAAAAAAUAUGUAUUUGAAAACAUAUUUUAAGAAUGCUGGUGAACAAAGGAUGGCUUCUAAUCCCUGUUUCCAAAGACUCUCUUUGUCUGUAAUACAGAGAUGUAUAAUAACUGGCCUCACAGAUGUUGCAAGAAUUAAAUGGUCCAAAGGAGAGUGCUUUGAGCAGUUGCCAUAAUAAAUGCUCAAUGCAUACAUUUAUUUAUUUAUCUCAAAAAGCAAAAACCUACUAAUUCAGUUUCUUGGCACUAUUGGUAUUUGGGGCUGGACAAUUAUUUGUUGUAGGGAGAUGUCCUGGGCGGGUAGGAUGUUUAUCCUCUGCCUAGUUGAUGCCAGUAGCACCCCUCCCCCAUCCAGUUGUGAUAACAAAAAGAUCUUUAGAAAUUGUCAAAUGUACCUGAGGAGCAAAGUUGCCACCAGUUGAGAACUAUUGUUCUAGAUGUACAGUUCUAAAUCUCAAAUCACUGACCAUGGCUCUGUCUAUCCUAUCAUACCAUCAUUUAAGACAAUUAAACAUUGAACUCCUGCAGGGGACCUUCCUGACUGAAUCCUCCUUCAUUUGCCCCUCUCUGGUGAGAACUCAGUCUACAAUGUCUCCUUUUCCUCUUUCUUCUUCUUCCACACACAGAACACUGUUCUGAGGAACUGUUCAAUCAUAGCUCAACAAAUAAUCAGGUUAUUCUUUCCUGCUUAUGCUAGUGACACCUCAGAAGCAAUCCAGAUGAAAUUUUUACCAGGCUGGCCUUGAACUCCUGGGCUCAAGUAAUCCUCCUUCCUUAGCCCCCUGGAUACCUGGGACUAUAGGUGUGCACCACCAUGCCCUGGGAGAAGGGGAAUAUAUAUAUAUAUAUAUAUAUAUAUAUAUAUAUAUAUAUAUAUAUA